GGUUCAGGACGAACGCUGGCGGCGUGCCUAAUACAUGCAAGUCGAACGGUCUUUUCUAUGGAAGCUUGCUUCCACUGAGAAGAUAGUGGCGAACGGGUGAGUAACACGUGGGUAACCUGCCCAUAAGAGGGGGGAUAACAUCCGGAAACGGGUGCUAAUACCGCAUAGUUUUCUUGAUCGCAUGAUCGGGAAAGGAAAGACGGCCUUUGUGCUGUCGCUUAUGGAUGGACCCGCGGCGUAUUAGUUAGUUGGUGAGGUAACGGCUCACCAAGACGAUGAUACGUAGCCGACCUGAGAGGGUGAUCGGCCACAUUGGGACUGAGACACGGCCCAAACUCCUACGGGAGGCAGCAGUAGGGAAUCUUCCGCAAUGGACGAAAGUCUGACGGAGCAACGCCGCGUGAGUGAAAGAAGGUUUUCGGAUCGUAAAACUCUGUUGUCAGAGAAGAACAAGUUGGAGAGUAACUGCUCCAGCCUUGACGGUAUCUGACCAGAAAGCCACGGCUAACUACGUGCCAGCCGCGGC
rnacentral:rRNA from 1 species